rnacentral:rRNA from 1 species
GGGGGGGGGGGGGGGGGGGGGGGGGGGGGGGGGGUGGGGGGGGGGGGGGGGGGUGGGGUGGGGUGGGCGGGGGGGGGACGGGGGCGUAGCAAGUGAGUAGCCUGCGCUUGGCUGUGGGAUGACGUCAGGGAACUGGGGCUACUACCGGCUAGGAGCUCCUGUUGCGGGGUGGGGGGUGGAAAGUUUCGGCGGUUGGGGAUGGACUCGCGGCUUCUCAGCUGGUUGGUGGGGUAGUGGCUUACCAAGGCUUUGACGGGUAGCCGGCCUGAGAGGGUGACCGGCCACAUUGGGACUGAGAUACGGCCCAGACUCCUACGGGAGGCAGCAGUGGGGAAUAUUGCACAAUGGGCGGAAGCCUGAUGCAGCAACGCCGCGUGCGGGAUGACGGCCUUCGGGUUGUAAACCGCUUUCGCCUGUGACGAAGCGUGAGUGACGGUAAUGGGUAAAGAAGCACCGGCUAACUACGUG